rnacentral:lncRNA from 1 species
UUUAGUUGUAUUUCUUUGUAAUUUUGUGUUGUACAAAGAUUAAUUUAACAUUUUCUCUGGAAGUAUUAAUUUAGAAAGAUAAUAUGCUUCAUUGGUGUUGUGUUGUGUUUUGAAGUGUGAAAUGCAAAGUAAUUGUGAUAAAGUCAAGAUAAAGUUCACUUUUAAACUGAACUAAAUAAGGUAUCUGAGAGACAACAAUGGUUAAAUGCAAUACAAUGUACAGGUUUUACUAGCGAAAUGAAAAUUUUCCUGUCCUGUCUGCUGUAAUCAUUUUAUAUCUGGAAAACCAGCCGACUUAAUAGAUAAUAACAAUCUCCAGAUUGGGUUCCUUCAAUAAAUAUGGGCUAUAAACACAAUGAAAUAAGUUCCCCAAAAUCUAAAAUGGAGUG